rnacentral:ncRNA from 1 species
AUUCUCCUCUCAGGUAAAUAGUUAAUCAUGUGUUAAUUAGACCGAGUAGGUCCAAGGGGGAUAGGGGUUAAUGUGUUAAUAAUCACCUAACCUAGACCUUGAAUCUACACCCCCCAACCUUCUAAACCAUCGACCCAUAACCCAUAACCCUUCUAAAGACGCAAUGUGAUUUAUUCUCAUUGCUCCACAUGUCAAAGUGAAGAAAUUCAACCAAGCACGGGUAAAUGGCGAGAGUAACUAUGACUCUCUUAAGGUAGCCAGAUGCCUCGUCAUCUAAUUAGUGAAGCGCAUGAAUGGAUCAUUAACGUGAUUUCCCACUGUUCCUAGCUAUUAUAUUGUAGAGAAACCACAUCCAAAGGAAUGGGCUUGGCAGAAUUAGUAGGGAAAGAAGACCAUGUUGAACUUGACUCUAGUUCUAACCCAUUCAUAGUUUGGGAAAAUUAGGGCAUAGUUUUGGAAAAUUAGACCAUAAAAUUUGUCUUUGGGAGUCAAAUUGAUUAUGGAAACAAGUGGGUGUGUGAGUCAAAUUUGAGUCCAGAAACCCUCCCAUGUCGUUAAAGCAUACGAAUAGUCUAUCUACGAUCAUGAUGGUAUAAAAAUGAAUGAGAUUAUCUUGGUUUCGAGAAUAAUUUAUCCUCUACUGAACAAGGCCAACCAUGUGAAGGUGGAAGCUCAUAUGGCCAUUCCCAUCCCCCUCACAUCACUCUCAAUUCCCCAAUACCCAAUCUAUAAAAUAGAAAAUAAUCGAAAGCAACCUAGUAAGAUUCAUGCAU